GCAAAGCGGAAGUGUGGCGCUUAACGGGAACCGGCGCCCGGAAUGUCAGCGUGUGAAGUAGGCGCUGGCAACGCGGGGUUACCCGCUGUUAUUGAGAAGUAACGGCCCAGCGGACCACCCAGGCUUGAGGCAGCGGCGGGAACCACUCGGUUUGCUGCGAUACCAUGGAAGGAGGCGGGGGAAGCGGCGACAAAACCACAGGGGUAUUGGCCGGUUUUUUCGGAGCCGGCGGAGCAGGUUACUCGCACGCGGAUUUGGCUGGCGUCCCGCUAACUGGUAUGAACCCUCUGUCUCUUUAUUUAAAUGUGGAUCCACGAUACCUCGUGCAGGAUACAGAUGAGUUUAUUUUACCUAUCGGAGCUAAUAAAACCUGGGGCAGAUUUGAGCUGGCCUUCUUUACGAUUGGAGGAUGUUGCAUGACAGGGGCUGCGUUUGGGGCAAUGAAUGGUCUUCAGCUAGGAUUGAAGGAAACCCAGAACAUGGCCUCAUCCAAACCAGGAAAUGUACAGAUUUUGAAUAUGGUGACUAGGCAAGGGGCACUUUGGGCUAAUACUCUAGGUUCUCUGGCUUUGCUCUAUAGUGCAUUUGGUGUCAUCGUUGAGAAAACACGAGGUGCAGAAGAUGACCUUAACACAGUAGCAGCUGGAACCAUGACAGGCAUGUUGUAUAAAUGUACAGGUGAGUACUGUUGAAUGGGGAGCCAUCUCUUAAUAUACUUGAAGUGCGCUUUUUAAAAUUCAUGGUUUUCAAGGAAAUUACACUCUGUUGCAGUAUAAUCUAGUGUUCUAACUUUAUGGUUAUUUUGGUUUGGUUUGGUUUUUAAUUGUGGUAAAAUAUGAGAUUUACCCAUCUUAACCAUUUUUAAGUAUACAGUACAUUAGUAUUAUAGUCACAUGAUUAUAUAACCAAUCUCUGGAACUUUUUCAUCUUGCAAAACUGAUACUCUGUACCUAUUAAGCCUCCCAAUUUACCACUUCUUUAGUUCCUGAUAAUGUUACACUUUCUGUCUCUGAAUUGGCUGCUUUAGGCACCUCAUAUAAGUAGAAUCAUACAAUAUUUGUCCUUUUUUGAUUGGCUUAUUUUACGUAGCAUAAUAUCCUCAAGGUUCAUCCAUGUUGUUGCAUGUGCCAGAAUUCCCUUCCUUUUUAAAGCUAAAUAAUAUUCAUUCUGUGUAUGUGUACCACAUUUUGCAUGUGCAUUCUUUUAUCAAGGAAUAUUUGGGUUGCUUCUACCUUUUGGCUAUUGUGAAUAAUGCUGCUACGAAUAUGGAUGUACAAAUAUCUCUUCAAGGUCCUUCUUUCUUUUUUUGGAUAUAUGUGCAGAAGUGGGAUUCUUGGAUCAUAUGGUUUAUGGUGGUUUUUUGACAUUAAGAAUAUAAGAUUCUUUUCUGUAUUUUUCAUUCAUUUUAGUUUAGUUUUUUUAAUCUUGGACAGACUAAGCAAUAGAAUAUUCAGAAUUGUUGGUUUUGUUUUAAACAAUAGUUUGACCUGUGACAUCAGCAUAUUAAACUAUCACAAGACACACACAAGGUCGAAGCCCAGGAAUGACUUCCCUGUAAGUCAAUUUAGAGCAUCUUAUUCCUAUGAUCAUCUUACUCUACUGGGAGAUCAACAUGUUGCUGUCAAGGGUCAGAUAAUUCUCUUCUGUGAUAAGUUUUACUAGUUUAGAAGCAUACAUCCAAGUAAUGCCUAAUUUAGCUUUUUUAUUAUGUUGAUACAUCUUUGGCUACUUAAUUUUUAUUUUUAUCAAAAUAAUCCACAUACGUGAUUUUUUAAGUCAAGGUUUUUAUCUUAACGUUUAAAAGAUUUUAAUGAUGUUUAAUCCACAUACUUGAUUUUUUAAGUCAAGGUUUUUAUCUUUUUAACAUCUAAAAGAUUUUAAUGAUGUGCAACAGUGUUCUAUACGUCUCACCUUAAUUCCCUUUUCCCAAAGGCAACUUUUAAAUUUUUUUUUUUUUUUUCUUUUUUGAGAGGGAGUCUUGCCUGGGUGUUAGAACAAGCCUCUGGCUCGAAAUGACAUGACAUGACAUGACAUGAUGAAAUGAAAUAAUGAAAUGAAUAAUGAAAUGCGUGUGGUGCACUCCAGCCUGGGCAAUGCAGCAAGUCUCUGUCAUGAAAUGGAUUGAAAUUGAAUGGGAAUGGGAAUAUGGGAAUGGAAUAAGUGAAAUGAAGAAAUAUGAAAUGCCAGGUGUGGUGGUGCACUCCAGCCUGGGUGAUAGAGCGAGUCUCCAUCUUGAAGUGAAAUGAAAUGAAGUGAAGAAAUGAAAUAAAUGAAUACUGAAAUGAAAUAAUAAAAUGAAAUGCCAGGUGUGGUGGCACACUCCAGCCUGGGCAAUAGAGCACGUCUCCAUCUUGAAAUGAAAUGAAAUAAGUGAAAUGAGAAAUGAUGAGAUGAAAUAUGAAAUGCUGGGUGAAAUGAAUAAUGAAAUGCCAGGUGUGGUGGCGCAGUCCAGCCUGGGUGAUAGAGCGAGUCUCUGUCUUGAAAUGAAAUGAAAUGAUCAAAUAAAAUGAUGAAAUGAAAUAAUGAAUAAUGAAAUUCUGGGUGCAGUGGCGCACUCCAGCCUGGGCAAUAGAGGGAGUCUCCGUCUCGAAAUGAAAUGAAAUGAAAUGAUGAAAUGAAAUAAUGAAAUGAAUAAUGAAAUCCCGGGUGAAAUGAAAUGAAAAAAUGAAAUAAAUGAAAUGAUGAAAUGAAAUAAUGAAAUGAAUAAUGAAAUGCCAGGUGCAGUGGCACACUCCAGCCUGGGUGAUAGAGCGAGUCUCUGUCUCAAAUGGGAUGAAAUGAAAUGAAGAAAUGAAAUAAUGAAUAAUGAAAUGCCGGGUGAAAUGAAAUGAAAUGAAGAAAUAAUGAAAUGAAAUGAAUAAUGAAAUGCUGGGUGUGGUGAUGCACUCCAGCCUGGGUGAUAGAGUGAGACUCCGUUUUGAAAUGAAAUGAAGGAGAUGAAAUGAUGAAAUAAAUAUGAAAUGGAAUAUGAAAUGCUGGGUGCAGUGGCUCACACUUGUAAUCCUAGCACUUUGGGAGGCCUAGGUGGGUGGAUCACUUGAGGUCAGGAGUUCAAGAUCAGCCUGGCCAACAUGGUGAAACCCUGUCUCUACUAAAAUACAAAAAUUAGCCGGGCAUGAUGGCAGGUGCCUGUAAUCCCAGCUACUCGGGAGGCUGAGAGAGGAGAAUCGCUUGUACCCAGGAGGUAGAGGUUGCGGUGAGCAGAGAUCACACCACUGCACUCCAGCCUGGGCAAUAGAACGAGUCUCCAUCUCAGAAUGAAAUGACAUGACAUGAUGAAAUGAAAUAAUGAAAUUAAUAAUGAAAUGUGGGUGGCACACUCCAGCCUGGGUGAUAGAGUGAGUCUCUGUCAUGAAAUGAAAUGGGAAAUGAAAUAUGAAAUGAAUAAUGAAAUGCUGGGUGCACUCCAGACUGGGCGAUAGAGCGAGUCUCUGUCUUGAAAUGAAAUGAAACAAAUGAAAUGAAAUGAAGUGAGAAAUGAAAUGAUGAAAUGAAAUACGAAAUGCCGGGUGAAAUGAAAUGAAUAAUGAAAUGCUGGGUGUGGUGGCGCACUCCAGCCCGGGUAAUAGAGCGAGUCUCCAUCGAAAUGAAAUGAAAUGAGAUG